rfam:Solanum tuberosum cultivar DM 1-3 516 R44 scf00731_3, whole genome shotgun sequence.
GUAAGAAAUAACAGUGCAAUUCUCCUUUGGCAAAUGAAUAUAUGCAAACCCUAUAUAUAUAUAUGUUUUGCAUGGCAUUAUAUUAUCUUUGCCAAAGGAGAAUUGCCCUGUCAUUCUUGU